UGUGCCUUCGGGAACCGUGAGACAGGUGCUGCAUGGCUGUCGUCAGCUCGUGUUGUGAAAUGUUGGGUUAAGUCCCGCAACGAGCGCAACCCUUAUCCUUUGUUGCCAGCGGUUAGGCCGGGAACUCAAAGGAGACUGCCAGUGAUAAACUGGAGGAAGGUGGGGAUGACGUCAAGUCAUCAUGGCCCUUACGACCAGGGCUACACACGUGCUACAAUGGCGCAUA
rnacentral:rRNA from 1 species